CGCCCAGGAGCCGCCGCCGCCGCGCCCGCCCGAGCGCCGCAGCGCGGGCAGGCCCGCGGCGGGCGCUGAGGGAGGCAGCCCCGCCACGCGCCGCCGCCUGCGCGCGAGCGGCCGUUGCUCGGCGGCCGUUGCCCGCCGGCCGUUGGCGGGGCGGCGGCGGCGGCGGGAGCCGUGCGCGCUCGCCGCCCGCCCGCGCGCGGUUCCCGAGUAGCGCCUGCUCCUUCGGCGGCGGCCCGCGGGGGACAUGCAGUCCCUCAUCUCCCCGGUGACCAAGGCUAUUCUGGUGGCUUUGUUCAUCUUCGCCAUCCUGCUGAUCCUCUACGUGAUCCUGUGGUACAUCUGCCGCGAUGUGGAUUGCGACCACGGCAUCUGAGCGGCGGCGGCGCGGCGCGAGGGUCUAGGCGCCGGCUGCGCCUCGCGGCCGGGACCGGGACCAGGGCCGGAGCCGGGGCCGGGCGGGCGGCGGCAGCCGCCGGGGAGACGGAGAGAAAGGAGAAGGGCGAAGAGAGAAAGGCCGAGCCGAAGGAGCCCGGAGGAGCGCUGCAGUCCCGAGGCGAACCUCAGCUUGACCUUCAGCGACCAGGGUGACCCGUUGGCCCAACUCCACUGAAUUUUUGGCAAAUGUGUCAGCAUACCUACGUUCCUCCAGCUGCUACUCCAGCAGGACAUAAGAGAGAAAAGAGAGAGAGGAGCCAGGAUUAUACCAGACUAAGGAAAUUGAAGAAGCGUCUAUAGCUACAGUCCAGCUGAAGCUGUGGCACUGCAUAUGUACCGAUCGCAGUUGUAACACAACUACCUGACAGUGUGAGACACUUGGCAGCUUGAUGAUAACAAACGUGUUGAAGUAACAAACUAUAGAGAAUUCACAGCAAAUAAUCUGUGUUUAACCUUCCCCUCUUGCCUUGUCUUGCCUUGCCUUCCCCUCUCUUCCCUUCCCUUCCCUCAGAUCCAGAUAUCUACAGAUAAUAGAUACUGACUUGCACAGUGCUUCUCAUGGUUUGUAAAAUUCUUGAGCUCAGUUUCAGAGGUUCCCUUUUUUUCUGUUUUUUGUCUGUUAUAGAAAAAAACAUAAACAUUCAUUCAAGCCAGAGGUCCAGACAGUUAAAUUACAAUUUUGGUGUACUCAGAAAAAAACAUUUCCCACUUUCAAGCCAUGAUUUUAAGCUUUUUAAAAUUUGCUGAGGUUAGAAUGCGUGAAGAACUGGAGCAGCGCAAGAGAGCAUCAGGGUGGAAAACCUGUAACAGAAGGACUAAGCUGCCAUCCCAUGGGAUAAAUUGAAAGCAUCUGAAAUGUGUAUUAUUGGCUUGGAUGAGAAGUGUGCUUUUGAAAUGAUGCUGCUGAUUAUUGCCACUUCUUGCCCUUUAGUUCUUAUCUCAGACCUAUCUCAGAGAGUGUGAACUGGGUUCUUUUUGGACAAUCUACACUGCAGGAUGCAGUCCAGAAGCCCUCCUAUGUGGGCCUCCUGUGCUCUAGCUAUCAUACACUAGUAAUACUGGUUAUACAUGGCUGCCAGAAAAAUAGGGCUUGCUUUCAGAAGUUCCAGGUUUUUCCAAAAGCUUCAACUUUAAAGUGCUUCAAACCCUAACUAGCUUUGAACUGACUUCAAAGUGUUGCUUAGAACUAAUUCUGUAAAAGUGAUUUUUCCUGUGUUCUGUAGAAUUUUCUGCUGUAUGAAGCAGUCAUUAAUGAUAUCCAGAAACUUUACCUUUAAACUCUCACUAGAACAUUUGGACAACAUGUCUACCAGCAGCUGAAGUCCCUUAUAUAUAUUUUAUGCGAUAU